rnacentral:rRNA from 1 species
AGCGGCAGGCCUAAUACAUGCAAGUCGGACGGGAUUUAGGAGCUUGCUUCUAAUGAGAGUGGCGCACGGGUGCGUAACACGUAUGUAACCUACCUUAGUCAGGGGGAUAGCCUCUCGAAAGAGAGAUUAAGACCGCAUAAAAUCACAAUGUGGCAUCACAAAAUGAUCAAAUAUUUAUAGGACUAAGAUGGGCAUGCGGAACAUUAGCUAGUUGGUAAGGUAACGGCUUACCAAGGCUACGAUGUUUAGGGGAUCUGAGAGGAUGACCCCCCACACUGGUACUGAGACACGGACCAGACUCCUACGGGAGGCAGCAGUAAGGAAUAUUGGUCAAUGGGCGUAAGCCUGAACCAGCCAUGCCGCGUGCAGGAAGACGGCCCUACGGGUUGUAAACUGCUUUUACAGGGGAAUAAACCUCGUUACGUGUAACGAGCUGAAUGUACUCUGAGAAUAAGGAUCGGCUAACUCCGUGCCAGCAGCCGCGGUAAUACGGAGGAUCCAAGCGUUAUCCGGA